AGCCAAUCUCUCUUUUCAAACCGUCUCUCAGUGUCAUAAACGUGUUGCUGCGUUCAGCUUUAGUUUAACUCGUCCAGAGGUCAGUAAAUACCAGAGAAACAUUACUAAAUGUUUAAGAAUACACGUUUAUUGAGCUGCAGUUUGUUACUUUAGUUUUUACCCGAUAUCUGCUAGCUUUAGCAUUAGCUUCUCAGGCCUGAAGCAGCCACGUGGAGAAACAGAAACACGGACAAGAUGAGAAACGAGGUGGACUGCAGUCUGGCGGCUCUUUGUGCCAAAUUUACAAAUGUAAAACUGCCUGUAUGGAGUUUCCUGAAAUCCCCGCAAGAUUCAUCAGAAGAAUGGGUCCAUUCAAGAUGAGCAAGGCACGACUGAGCUGAGAACUUUCAUGCUGCCAUGAAGCGCUCUGUCUGCUCCAAACUGAACCAGUGGACUGAAGGUGAUGCAUUUUGUGCAGAUGAGGACUUUUGUGUUGCCAUAAGAUUUUAAAGCCAUGAAGUUCAGUGUCUGCUCCAAACUGAACCAGCGGACUGAAGGUGAUAAAUUUUGUGCAGGUGUUGCAGAUGGAAAUUCCUGACAGAAUCUGACUCUUCUUACAUGGUGCAGCUACACCUUCAAGAUGGACCAUAUGUUGGUCUAAUGCUCCUAAAGUCUGAGUAACUUCGACAGAACGGGAUCAAGAAGUUGCAGCAAUUUGGCUUCAGUGUGCCGCAAGCUACACGUGAUGAGGGCUUGUGGACUCUGGUCUGAAGACAAAUCAACAUUUCACCACAUUAAGAACAGCAGUCUGAUUUACUGUUUGGUAACUAAUAAAGUGUUGAAACAA